UACGUAGGGGGCAAGCGUUAUCCGGAUUUACUGGGUGUAAAGGGAGCGUAGACGGCGAAGAAAGUCUGAAGUGAAAGCCCGCGGCUCAACCGCGGAAUGGCUUUGGAAACUUUUUUGCUGGAGUACCGGAGAGGUAAGCGGAAUUCCUAGUGUAGCGGUGAAAUGCGUAGAUAUUAGGAAGAACACCAGUGGCGAAGGCGGCCGCCUGGCCUGUUGCUGACGCUGAGGCACGAAAGCGUGGGGAGCAAAUAGG
rnacentral:rRNA from 1 species